rnacentral:lncRNA from 1 species
UGGGCUAAAAACUAUGUCCUAUAUAUUUAAAUUAAUAAAGCUUGAAACUUUACUAUGAAACAAAUUUCUAAUCAGAUACAUGUAAAAGAGAAAAAUGACUCAAAUUCCCAAAACAAUUUAUGUUUUAAUUAUCUUUCUUUUUAUAUUUCUUGUUGUCAUCGAUGGUGGUAAAGCAUCUUCACACCAUUUCAAAUUUCUUUCUUUAUCUUAUACACAAAAUAUAUCAUCACCUUUUUUGUAACAUGUCUUUUUUUUAUCUUAUUUGAUUUGAUAUCUCAGGAUUUAUUCCUUGCGAUAGUUGGCGUGAUUGUCCAAAAAACUUUUGCGUGUAUCCUCGACGGAAAGUGUGUGUUGGUGGUUUUUGUGAAUGUGAGUACAAAAGUAUAUUUAUGUUAUUUCUUACUGUAUGAUGUUUUUCUCAUACACUGAUUUAUUUUUCAUCGAAUUUUUAAUUUUUUUUACUAGCUAUUAUAAGCAAAAAAUUACUUUUUACGUUAUUGAAAAAUUAAUGUAUUUGAUUUAUAAUAUAAGUUAAAUACAUCAAUUUUCUAAUGAACCUGAAAAAUAAUUUUUUGCUUAUAGUGACGGAUGAAGUAUAACGUUACCUUUCAUUCAUUCAUAGAGGAUGUACAAAUAAUGUCACAUUGUCACUUCAUAAUUAUAAUUAGUUACCUAAAAAAGCAAUAAUUAUAAUCAGUUAUUUUAUUAAUAAAUAAAGGAAAUAUAUGGUUCCUCACUUUUUUUUUACUAAAACGUGACGAUAUUCAUUCAAAUAAUUGAUAGAAUAUAAAUAAAAAAUCAACAUAGCGAAAAACAAAAAUGAUAAAUAUGAGAAUAAACACACAUCAUCUAAGUUAAUAGUAGACGGUGGCAAAAUACUUACAAAUAAUAUAAUAAAAUAAAAGUCAUAGGAAUGUCCAUGCUUUCAGGUUUGCAGCGUUGAUGCCUAAAUCAUUGAUUGCAUCUGAAAUUGAUUGAAGAUGACAUUUCAAUAUGAAGUAAACGAAUACCGCAACAAGACGAUAAAUCAAACAACGCCGUACCAAGAAGAUGACAAACACAACGCCGCACUCGGACGACGAAAUCAUAACUACAAAAGAAAACAACUAAAAGACUCAAUCUAUGUGAAAAUCACUUAUAUAUAUAUCUAGUCUAGAUUAAAAGCAAAGAAGAAAAAAAAGAUGUUGAAGGGUGAUAUUAGGCCAAAAUGACAUAAAACCACCCCUUAACUGGUAGAGAAAAAAAAAACUCAAAGAGAAAAAAAUUAGGAUCGGCACAAAGAGAGAACUUUUAAGCUAUUAUUAUUAAAUCAUAGAAUAUUUCUCGUGUGUGCUUGCCAUUGAUGGUAGUGUGUUUUCUAUAUGAUUCUCACUUUCUCAAUUAUUCAUCUUAAAAAAAAAACAUUUUAGCUACUAAAUUACUUGGAAAAAAACAAAAGAAAAUAUAUGGUUGAAUAGAUUAAUUUUUUGUAUUUUUGCCCAAUAUAGUAUAAUAUUGUAUUCAUCUAAGCAUCUGGAUUAGAGAAGAUUAAAGUUCAAUUAAUUUAACUAAAUGACACAUGUCUCUUAUAAUUUAACUAAGAUUUUAGAUUUAAUUUUUGACCGACCAUGUAGUAACGUUAAAACGUUUAGGAAGAAUUUUUCAUCUAUUUGAAUCCCACAUGACUCGAUAACUUAAUCUCCAUAGUUGCGUGCGAAAAAUAUACAACAUUAAAAAAAAUUUGUUUAGAUAUGUCUAAUGGUUGUUGUUUAUCCUCAAAGGCUUAAGAGUGUUUAAGUGGUUUUGAAAUAGUUAGGUUGCAUUUGACUUUUUUUUAAGGCUUAAAAGUUACUUUGAGAAUAAAAUAAAAAAUAAAAAAUUUAAAGUCAAAGUUAAAUUUGUUUGGCAUUUAUUAUUAUUUUUAACUUAAUUAUCACUUUUAAAUCAAAAUCUAGUAAAAUAUUUUUAUAAAAGUUUUGAUAUUUUAAUACAAAUUUAUCUUAAAUAACAAACUUAUGAAAUUCAACUAUUUUAAUAAAAAAAAAUUAUAUUAUAUAGAGACAUGAUUUUUAAAAGAUAAUUAUCUUAGUAAUAACAAACUUAAGAAACGAUGUAAACAAUAUUUGAUAAACAUCGAAAAAAGAUAAUAAUAACAAAGAUAAAAAAAGAUAAUAUAACAAAUAAUUAUCCUAAUAAUUUGUUGGUAUUAAUCCUCUGGUUCUCAGGAGAAUGAGUCUCAAUAAUCUAGAGUUCGACCGCGAGGUAAGAAAAGUGUGACAAUGAAUUGUUCCCACUAGGAAUCGAACUCAAGUUCUCUCAAACAAUCCGUUAUAAGGAAAGUUCAUUAACCACUUAAACUCAAUAUCCUGAUUAACUUAAUUACAACUUUGAAAUUGAAAGUAAUAGAAAUAUCUUUCAAUGUAAUUUAUCUUCAUAUCCUUUUAGUCUAGUAAUUCAGCCAUUAGACUUGCACACUUUAAUGAUGUGUUUGGUUUGAGAAAAAAAAAAUAAGAAAAAAAGAAAAACACGCAAAUCAAUUUCAAAGGUAACAAUCAAUUGAGCAAUAUUGUUUUUUUUGGUAGUCAACUGAGCUAUAUUGUAAUAUUUUCAUUUUAAUUAUUUUUUAUAUUUUCAUUAUGUAGAUAUUCACAUUUUUCUUUUGCAGGUUCUGAAAUAAAUUCACUUGAGCAAUAGUAUACAAGGAUGCCAUGAGAAGCCUCAUAUUAAACCUUACUAGUUUUUCUGAAUUGGAGAGGGAAAAAAAAACGAUCUAAAUCCCUCACUAAUAGCGAUGUUUAAUGUUAUUUUAAGUCUUUAAUGUUAUGAUAGUUUUAUGCUUAAGAUGCCUUUAUAUUUUAUUAUUAUUAUUUUUAUAUCUAUAAAUCAUAUUAAACUUAUAUAACUCUAUAUUAUAUUAAAAAAUGUCAAAAUAUAUGAAAAAGUUGUU